rnacentral:rRNA from 1 species
AACGAACGCUGGCGGCAUGCCUAACACAUGCAAGUCGAACGAGACCUUCGGGUCUAGUGGCGCACGGGUGCGUAACGCGUGGGAAUCUGCCCUUGGGUGCGGAAUAACUUCCCGAAAGGGAUGCUAAUACCGCAUAAUGUCGUAAGACCAAAGAUUUAUCGCCCAAGGAUGAGCCCGCGUAAGAUUAGCUAGUUGGUGGGGUAAAAGCCCACCAAGGCGACGAUCUUUAGCUGGUCUGAGAGGAUGAUCAGCCACACUGGGACUGAGACACGGCCCAGACUCCUACGGGAGGCAGCAGUGGGGAAUAUUGGACAAUGGGCGAAAGCCUGAUCCAGCAAUGCCGCGUGAGUGAUGAAGGCCCUAGGGUUGUAAAGCUCUUUUACCCGGGAUGAUAAUGACAGUACCGGGAGAAUAAGCUCCGGCUAACUCCGUGC